rnacentral:rRNA from 1 species
AUUGAACGCUGGCGGCAUGCCUUACACAUGCAAGUCGAACGGUAACGGGCCUUCGGGUGCCGACGAGUGGCGAACGGGUGAGUAAUGUAUCGGAACGUACCAUUGAGUGGGGGAUAACGUAGCGAAAGUUACGCUAAUACCGCAUAUUCUCUCCGGAGGAAAGCAGGGGACCGCAAGGCCUUGCGCUCUUUGAGCGGCCGAUAUCAGAUUAGCUAGUUGGUGGGGUAAAAGCUCACCAAGGCGACGAUCUGUAGCGGGUCUGAGAGGAUGAUCCGCCACACUGGAACUGAGACACGGUCCAGACUCCUACGGGAGGCAGCAGUGGGGAAUUUUGGACAAUGGGGGCAACCCUGAUCCAGCCAUGCCGCGUGAGUGAAGAAGGCCUUCGGGUUGUAAAGCUCUUUCAGCCGGGAAGAAAUCGCAUGGGCUAAUACCCCGUGCGGAUGACGGUACCGGAAUAAGAAGCACCGGCUAACUACGUGCCAGCAGCCGCAGUAAAAC